ensembl:lncRNA
GUUGGUAGUAUGGUAGCAGUAGGGGUUAUGGGUAGUUGGUUGUAGGGUAGUAGGGUAGCAGUAGGGGUUAUGGGUAGUUGGUUGUAUGGUAGUAGGGUAGCGGUAGGGGUUAUGGGUAGUUGGUUGUAUGGUAGUAGGGUAGCAGUAGGGGUUAUGGGUAGUUGGUAGUGUGGUAGCAGUAGGGGUUAGGGUAGUUAGUAGUGUGGUAGCAGUAGGGGUUAGGGUAGUUGGUUGUAUGGUAGCAGUAGGGGUUAUGGGUAGUCGGUUGUAUGGUAGUAGGGUAGCGGUAGGGGUUAUGGGUAGUUGGUAGUGUGGUAGCAGUAGGGGUUAGGGUUAAGGGUAGUUGCGAAUAUGGUAUUUGUAUGGGUUAGGAUUAGGGCUAGUUGGUAGUAUUGUAGCAGUAGAGGUUAGGGGUAGUUGGUAGUAUGGUAGCAGUAGAGGUUAGGGUUAGGGGUAGUUGGUAGUAUAGUAGAGGGUAGCAGUAGGGGUUAUAUGUAGUUGGUUGUAUGGUAGUAGGAUAG